ensembl:lncRNA
CUCACAGGCUGGCAGGCAGCCUGUGAUGGGGCCCUGCUCAGAAGACCCCCGCCUCUGCGGGGCCUCCAGGCUCCUAGGAUUCACCAGCUUCCUCCUCAGUGUCUGCUGCACUGGGGUCGAGAAUUCUGCAGCACCUGGUCCUGGAGUUCAGGAUUCUGGACCUGUUACCCUGCAGAGGAUCCGAGGAGGUUCUGUGUUGUUUCAUGUGACCAAGAAUCAAAAAGCUGACCCAGAGGAGGUCUCAUGGGGCUUUGGCCCUGAGUUAAACUACAGCGUCAUGCUGCGAGUCCACCGUGGGGCAGACACCCCAACCUGGGUCAGCCUCCAGGACAAGUACCAGCACAGGGUCCAUGUGCCUAACAUCCUGUUCCUGAGGAUUGAUAACCUGACCCUAGAGGACAGUGGGCAGUACCGGGCUCGAGCCAGCUUCACUAGAGGAAUAGAAUUAAACCAGGUUUUCCUCCUCACUGUCUAUGAAACUGUACCCGUUCCUAAGAUCCUUGUCAAGUCAGCAUCCUUCACACCAGGCUGGUGCAAUGCCACUCUGGAGUGCACAGCCCCAGGGGAUACAAAGGACCUGAAGGUGACCUGGGAGAUCAAGGACCUUCCCAGGGAGCUGGAGCAGAGAGUGACAUCAGAACUACCCUCCAAGUCCUGGAACCUGACUCUGUGCCUGCCUGUGAGCCAGCCCAGUGGCAGCUUGACCUGUAUGGUCAGCAACCAGGUGGACCAGAAAACUGCCACCUUAGGCCUUGGAGAAGUCUGUGUCUCUGAUUCACCUGGAAACAAUGAUGAUAAGACCCUGUCAGGCAUCAUAGGGACUGUCGUGAUUAUCCUGUUGAUCUGCGUAAUUGGACUGUUCCUUUGGAAGACCUGUGUGAAGAAGAGGAAGAUGACGACUGGAAGAGGUGUAGAAGUUCAGGAGGAUCAGAGGGACAAUGAUGGUGGCCUCCACUAUGCGGAGCUGAGCCAGCAGGAGUCUGCCGCACACAAGGGUGUUGAUAAACAACAUUUAGAAGAAAAGGCGUCUAGUACUGUCUACAGUGAGGUCUGCAAGCCAGAAAGGGAGGCCAUGAAGAUACUUUAAUUGGAGAAAGCAGAAGAAUCGGAACUACUAGGACACCUCCACUCGGCGCUUGAUUCCUGAAGACAUCUGCGUCUCCCAGCUCUGGUCCAGCUCCAGCUGCCCCGUGACCCUCCCGCCCUUAAGUCCCUGUGCGCAUGUGGCCUUCUCACAACCUGUGUCGACUUCCCCAGCUGUCUUCCCACUCAAGAUCCUCACCCUGCAGGAUGAGAGCUCUUCUUCCAUCACUGACCCAGCGCCUAGCCCCUCUUCUCCUGAAACUUCUCAAAGAGGACCUUCCUGCACAUGAUAAUCCCCACAGCCUCUGCUGUGCGGUUGAUGUGUAUCUUUCUCAGCACUCAAGCCCAGGCGUGGAGACAGUUGACCAGACUACAGAGGACAAGAUAGGCCACACUGGAAGCCGAGGUACCACUGGACUACUUGGGGAGCACUGACUUGGGGCAGGUGAGCAGAUGCUGCUGGUGUGGAUUCCAAAGGCCUUCUCAUCUGAGCUCUUCAUCUUCAUGGUAGGACCUAAGCGCCCAGGGCAUGGAAUUCUCCUGCCAGCCUGAUGGAACAUUUUGUUUGCUUCUGUCAUCCAUCUCUCUUUAUGCCCCAUUUCUUAUUAACCAUCCUUCUGAUUGACAUUUUUUGGUUAUGGGCAUAUGUAAGAAUAAGACUUUCCUUGAUAUCAAUGGGAAUUGCUGUAUCUGUCCUGUGAUCCAGAUAUAUAGUGUUUUAUUUAAUCUCUAAAAGUAAAAAAUAAUCCCUCUAAAAUACCCAUCCUAUUUCUCAUUUCCAAAUUGUAGUUGAGGAUGUGGAGGGUGAAGAUACUCCCUCAAUACACCAUUUGUCACUAGAUGAGCCACCGAAUUGCUUUUGCUUUUCACCCAACAAACUGGUUAGUGGGAUCCCAUGGCUCUCAAGGCUGGAAGCGUCACCUAAUUUAUCACUUACCCUUUCAGCAAGAUUUCACAUUUAAAACAGCAAAGCAACAAUAAUAACUAGAGAAACUCUUAAGAGAAUGUAGUUCUUAAUUACUGUCUAUUUAAUUUUAAAUCUUCAUUAAAUGGAUACUUUCUAGAAAAAUAUGAAUUGAUAAAAUUAAUCUAAGUGUGGGCACACUCACUUUGCUCGGCAUGCUUUUGAUCCCAAACAGAGCUCCCCAAGGUGGCAGUUUUCUGGUCCACAUGGUCACUGACCACACAGGUGAGACUGGAGUUGGGGCUGGCUCAGGGGCAGACUCAGAGCUUGGUCCCAGGUUCUUCUGCUCCAGCUCCCUGGGGGGCCCUUGAUUAUCCAAGUCAUCUUCAGGUCCUCUGUGGCCCUGUGGUGCAGGGUGACCAUUGCACCAGCCUGUUGUGAUGGACUGUUACUCAGCCAGGAUCUGGGAAAGGGGCAAGAGGGAACAAAAGCUUAUUAUUGUAUUUGGAGAGACUGUUACUCACCCAAUAUCAUGCCGUUCUGCGCAGUCAACUGGGAAGACAGGGCUUUUCACAGCUAAAGAAACUGAGGCCUUAGAGACGUGAAAUAGUUUUCAAAAUUAUAUAAUGAGAAAGCAGUACCAAAUCUCAGUUUAGAGAAGUGUGGACAGCCAGUCUGUCAGCUCUUUUUCAUCUGUGGUACCCCCCAACUGUCACCACACACAGCUGAAAUCACAUGUUUGCCCUCCACAUGCAUUUUCAGAAACUUUAUGGGACUUUCCUGGUGCUCUAGUUGCUUAGACUCUGCACUCCCAAUGCAAGGGGUCCAGGUUUGACCCUGCUCAGGGAACUAGAUCCCACAUGCCACAACUAAAGAGCCCACAUGCUGCAACCAGGACCUGGCAUAGCCAAAUACAUAAAUAUUAAAAAAAAUUAAUAAAAUAACAUAUGGGGAAAUUUGUUGUUGUUGUUCAGUCACCAAGUCAUGUCUGACUCUUCAUGACCCCAUGGACUAACUGCAGCAUGCCAGGCUUCCCUGUCUCCCACCAUCUCCUGGAGUUUGCCCAGGUUCAUGUCCAUUGAAUCAGUGAUACCAUCCAACCAAUGGGGAAAAUACAUUUAUAUUAACAAAUAAAAGAUUUGGGAGAAUGGCAUUGAAACAUGUAAAAUAUCAUGUAUGAAACGAGAUGCCAGUCCAGGUUCGAUGCACGAUACUGGAUGCUUGGGGCUAGAGCACUGGGACGACCCAGAGGGAUGGUAUGGGGAGGGAGGAGGGAGGAGGGUUCAGGAUGGGGAACACAUGUAUACCGGUGGCGGAUUCAUUUUGAUAUUUGGCAAAACUAAUACAAUUAUGUAAAGUUU